rnacentral:lncRNA from 1 species
CUCCCAAGCGUUUACCUGACUGUUAUACUAAAACACAGGCACCAAACUACUAGAAAAUUAAGCUUUACAAUGCUCAAGUGAGAUAAGAAAAUGUGUUUUCUUUGUACUGAGGGAAAGAAGAUGUCACAUCCUCAUUGUUACAUCACAACUCCUGCUCAGAGUCACUAGGAGGAAUCACAACACUCAAGAUGGGUGCCCUGCUUGCCUUACUGUUCCCUUCUGUGGCUGUGGCUGCCUAACCUAGUGCUCGAUAAACUAUUCACAGGAGAAAAGGCAAGUUUGAGAUUUAAGUACAGAGGGGAUUAUUUUCCUAAGACUACAGAACAUCAAAGGAGAGGUAUCCUGCAGCCAAGCCUGAAUCACUGCAUAGAUGUUUCUUGCUCUUCAAUGACUCUACAAGACCACAAGAGUACUGAGAGAUGCACUGUACUUUGUGGAUGGUGAAUUGUCGAUGAAAGAAAGUGAGCCCAAUCUGGACUGAGAACAUGCUAAAAAAAGAUUGUUUUCACAAUAAUCCUGGAAGAAAACAAGAAGUAUUUUACUCAGUCUCUUUUGCCUUCUAAUCCUGCUUAGCCAUAGCUACUCCU